rnacentral:rRNA from 1 species
AUUGAACGCUGGCGGCGUGCUUAACACAUGCAAGUCGAACGAUGAACCGGAGCUUGCUCUGGGGAUUAGUGGCGAACGGGUGAGUAACACGUGGGCAACCUGCCCCAGACACCGGGAUAACCAUUGGAAACGAUGGCUAAUACCGGAUACGACCACUUCGGGCAUCCGAUGGUGGUGGAAAGGCUUCUGGUCUGGGAUGGACUCGCGGCCUAUCAGCUUGUUGGUGAGGUAAUGGCUCACCAAGGCGACGACGGGUAGCCGGCCUGAGAGGGCGACCGGCCACACUGGGACUGAGACACGGCCCAGACUCCUACGGGAGGCAGCAGUGGGGAAUAUUGCACAAUGGGCGAAAGCCUGAUGCAGCGACGCCGCGUGAGGGAUGAAGGCCUUCGGGUUGUAAACCUCUGUCAGUAGGGAAGAAGCGCAAGUGACGGUACCUACAGAAGAAGCACCGGCUAACUACGUGCCAGCCGCCGCUGUAAUAC